rnacentral:rRNA from 1 species
CCGGGGGGCAUGCCUGUUCGAGCGUCAUUACAACCCUCAAGCUCUGCUUGGUAUUGGGCUCGCCCUGUAGGGCUUGCCUCAAAGUCAGUGGCGGCUACCGUCCGACCUUCAGCGCAGUACUAUUCGUCGCUGUUAGGGAAGGCCUACAACCCGUCAUCACAACCCCCACUUUACAAGGUUGACCUCGGAUCAGGUAGGGAUACCCGCUGAACUUAAGCAUAUCAAUAAGCGGAGGAAAAGAAACCAACAGGGAUUGCCUCAGUAACGGCGAGUGAAGCGGCAAAAGCUCAAAUUUGAAAGCUGGCUCCUUCGGGGYCCGCGUUGUAAUUUGUAGAGGAUGCUUCGGGCGCGGCUCCGGUCUAAGUUCUCUGGAACGAGACGUCAUAGAGGGUGAGAAUCCCGUAUGUGACCGGCUGCCUGUGCCCAUGUGAAGCUCCUUUGACGAGUCGAGUUGUUUGGGAAUGCAGCUCAAAAUGGGAGGUGUACUCCUUCUAAAGCUAAAUAUUGGCCAGAGACCGAUAGCGCACAAGUAGAGUGAUCGAAAGAUGAAAAGCACUUUGGAAAGAGAGUUAAACAGUACGUGAAAUUGUUGAAAGGGAAGCGCUUGCAAUCAGACUUGCGCGGCGUCGAUCAACCUGGGUUCUCCCUGGUGCACUCGGCGCCGCUCAGGCCAGCAUCAGUUUCGGCGGUGGGAUAAAGGCUGAGGGAACGUGGGUCACCUCGGUGACCGUUAUAGCCCUCGGUGCAAUGCCGCCUGCCGGGACGAGGACCGCGCUCG